AUUGAACGCUGGCGGCAGGCCUAACACAUGCAAGUCGAGCGAGCGGCGGACGGGUGAGUAAUGUCUGGGAAACUGCCUGAUGGAGGGGGAUAACUACUGGAAAAGGUAGCUAAUACCGCAUACCAUCAGAUGUGCCCAGAUGGGAUUAGCUAGGAGGUGGGGUAACGGCUCACCGAGGCGACGAUCCCUAGCUGGUCUGAGAGGAUGACCAGCCACCCUGGAACUGUGACACGGUCCAGACUCCUACGGUGUACAGCAGUGGGGAAUAUUGCACAAUGUGCGCAAGCCUGAUGCAGCCAUGCCGCGUGUGUGAAGAAGGCCUUCGGGUUGUAAAGCACUUUCAGCGGGGAGGCGUUACCCGCAGAAGAAGCACCGGCUAACUCCGUGCCAGCCGCCGCGGUAAUAC
rnacentral:rRNA from 1 species